UUACGGCCAUAUCACGUUGAAACACCUGUUCUCGUACGAUCAUCGAAGUUAAGAAAGUCUGGUCACUACCUAGAUGGGUGACUGUUUGGGAAUACCAGCUGCAGUA